rnacentral:lncRNA from 1 species
UCAUCCUCCUUCACUUUAAGCUAUAUUGUUACUCUGAGAAAGAAGACAGAGCCAUUUCACACAAUAGUCUGAGGGAUCUGCCCUGCCCUUGCCUUACCCAGGGAAGCUGCCUCUCAGAACACAGCAGAUAAUCUGGUCAGAUGUAUCAAGGUGACAGCAGGUGACAUUUGACGAAAUGAGGGGAAAGAAGACAAUUGAAGGCAUUAUUUCAAAGAGAGGUUAACUAGAAGUCAAUAGAUGCAGGAUGGACUCAGCAAACAGCUCUAGUCAAGCUAUGGAUCUGGUCAUCUCAGAUCUCUGUUCACAGUCUUUUCAUUCUGGAAACUAGAGUGGAGGAAGCAGAUACCCAUAUUGGAAGAUUCUUAUGUCAAUGACAGAAUGCAAAAGCACAAACCCCUCUGCACAAACACUCUUUAAGCCUCUGUGUGUAUCACAUCUGUUGACAUGCCAAAAAUGUCCACAAAUAAGCUCAAGAAACUGCUGUUAAGCCACAUAGGAGAAGGACAUCUUAUUAUGACUAUUGGGACCUUACAUUUAUGCAACAAAUGGAAGCCACUCCUGAAAGCCUUCAUAGAGCCGCUGAGACUAGUGAAUCAUCAUCCCCAUCUUUGUCUAGAGAGAAAAAAAGAAGCUCAUGUAAGUGAAACAAGAAACCGUCAUCAUCUUUGGGGAGAAAAAGUAUUCUGCCAUAGCAACAGAAAACAGACCUAGACAGCACCCUGCACAAUACACAUUUUUGCUUUUGUGGAAAAUUACUGCCCUCUAUCCUUUUCCCA